rfam:Rattus norvegicus chromosome 17, whole genome shotgun sequence.
GGGGAUUUAGCUCAGUGGUAGAGCACUUGCUUAGCAAGCGCAAGGCCCUGGGUUCGGUCCCCAGCUCCG